CUUCAACUCUGGGUUUUUGUUGUUUUUUGUUUUUCACCCUAGGGGAAAAUUCACCACUGAGCUCAAGCAUUGCAAGACAUUCUGUUCUAAGGAGGGAUGAGGACAAAUCCUCGACUGUCCCCAACAGUUGCACAGGGCACUGCAUUCUCAGCACAUCUACAGUUAUCCUGAGAACUACAAGCAGGAGGUGAAAGAGCUGAGUCAGCCAAGGUCAUCUGGGGACCUACCCUCCUGCAGGUACAGGGACCAACUUUGAUGCAUAAACUGAGAGAAUCCCUGGAAGAGAUCCACAAGAUGCGCAAAGAUCACAAGGCAGACCGUCAAACUGAUUUUAAAAGAAUGCACUGAAGCCAAGGUCCUGUACAUCAUCAAGCGUGGCUCAUGGAAAGAAGGAACAAUGACCACAUUCACCAAAAGGGUAUCUCCAUGGACAAGUUCUGUGAAUGCAUCUGCCCCCAAAACAUUCUACAUUGCUCGGAUUAGCCUCAAGAAAGUGGGACCUAAAUGGGGCAGAGGAGCCUCUCGCUGUGGCCACCACUGCCUUCAGCCCAUAAGUGAGUUUUUCCAGGCUACCUCCGAUGAUCACUUAAAGCUCAGCGGCUCUUCAUUCAGCUUGUGUUUAUCCUUCGAAGGGAAGAGAUCUCAUCCUUGUGCUCACUGCUGAAUCCCCAGAGUCCUUCAUACAACCUCACUAUUAGUAGAACUUAAUACAUACUUGUUGAUAAAGAAAGGAAUCGAUGAAUGAAUGGACCAAGACGCCUUCUAAUACCAAGUCUCUAUAGCUUCUCAUGAGUAUGCCUGUACUUUUACAACCUAAAAAUACAUCGCUUUAAGGUUUAAAUAUAGUCUAAGGAUUUUAUGUAUGCUUUAGAUAUUUUAUCAUAAUUCAAGAAACCAAGUUGUUAGGAAUGGCCUUCUGACAUAUGUGUUUUAAUCUUUAUCAAAUUUCUGUUAAUAUAGUCUAAAUGAAACUCUAUUUCUCUUUCUUUGUAGUUUAUUUCCAAACAGAUUUUAGAUAAAUAAUAUAAAACAGUGCUGUCUUACUAAACGGAAAGAUAAGCAUCUUUCUUUGGACUGAUGAUGUCUUGCCAUCACAUUCCCAACAGCAUCCUAAAAACCAAGUGAUACUGCUUGCAAUUUCUGUUAAGAAGAGUAGGUCAAACAAAGCCAAAAUCAUUGUCUUGGAAGAUAUGUUUUGGCACUCAAUGGAUAAUUGUGAAAAUAGUGUGUUUACUAGGUUUACUCAUUUACCUAGUUAGCAUGAAUGUUGCAACUAACUUAACCGAAAUUCUGAUUGGGUUAGAAUUUGGUUUGUUUUUGUCAGUGGCAUAUGGGGGUUGGGAGGACAGUAGGAGACAUCCAUUCUUGAAGGGAGGAAUCUUUUAACACUGACAUCAUUUAAAAUUCCUGCAUAUAGUAUUAAUAACAAGCAGGGUGAAUUCUAGUCAGUUUUAUUGUUGCUUAAAAUUCUUUACAAAAACUAUACUGCCUCAUUUCACAUAUCAAAGGCAGACUGCUCUCAAGAUACCUCCCUUCCCUUUUAUUGCUAAGGCAGUUGUUUGAAUAAGAGAUUUCUUUCUAUAUAUAUCAAUCUUAUAUAUAACAUUUAAAACACAUAAAAUGUAUACAUAUAUACGUCUUAUUAAUUGGGUAUCCAUCAAGAGAUUUCAUAUAAUGCAAGCAAGAACUAAUAUAUCUGAAAUAAUUACCACAAAUAAUUAAUAUUGCUAAAAGUGUAUUUUAUGCAGAGUUAAUAAAUCAAGACAGAGGCUUGCUUUCCUAACUGUGAAGGACAGGUGCACUGAGUAUGUGUGAAUAUAUCAUAUAUAUUACAUAUCACACUUAUAGUUUACAUUUUAUAUAAUAUAGUAGGUCUAAAUAUAUCAUAUGUAUUACAUGUCAUACUUUUAGUUUACAUUUUAUAUAAUAUAGUAGGUCUUAAUAUAUCAUAUACAUUACAUA
ensembl:lncRNA